rnacentral:pre_miRNA from 1 species
AAAUCGCCCCUAAGUUUUGCAACUGUAGCAGUUUUGGCCCCUUAAGGCCAAUAUUUGGUAUAAAAAAUUAAAAAAUAACACGUGGCACCUUACUUAGGGUGCCACGUCAGCGUAGACAGAACCAAAAUUGGUCUUAGGGGUCAAAACUGCCACAUAUGCAAAACUUAGGGGACGGUUU